UGGAUUGAUACAACUACAGCACAUAGUAGCAGCAGGUUAAAAGCUAGUACAUAGUUAGGAAAGAGCACAUUACGCUCUCUCCAUCAGUGGAUAUAUGGUACCUGGUACUGAACCUGAUAGCCAUUACCAUAAUAUGUUGUGUGGGCAGGUGAGAUGCCAUAGGGAGCUGAGCUUAUCAUUGUGGGAUGGUGAUGGGCCUCAGCACCAUACACAUACUGCCUCUCGUAAGGGUAGGAAUGCCUCUGCGGCGGAGCAGCCUGGUAGAAGCUUUUGUCAGGAAAGCUAGUAUGUGGCGCAUAUACGGAUCCAUUGGCACGAGGCCUCUUAGACUGUGGCUUUGCAGCUUCAACAGCCCUCCUCUUGUCUGCCUUAGCUUUCUCUAGCUGGAUAACUCUUUUCUGAAGCAGGUCAAUCGGAUAUUUCUCAUCAAGUUUGUGCUCCUCGAUACACUUAAUAGCAGCUUUCAAGGCAGACAGCUCUCGUUCAUUCAUUUCAUUCUGAAUAAUAUGGUAAUUCAUCAGAUAUACUACAAUCACAAUUAAUUAGGAAUGCACGCAGAUAUGCUUAAAAAAUGUACAGACCAGCAAGAAGAGAAAAUAUUUGUUACCCCACACAAGAAAGAAAAGGUAGCAAGCAACUAUAGCUGAAUAGUAUCUUGCAAGCUAAAGUAGCUCUUUAUUAUUCAAGUUCUUCAGAACAGCACUGCAGCUUCUACAUUGAAGCUGAUUGGUGGCUAAAUGAUUUGCUAACUUUAUGAUAUGAUCAAACCCCGUACUUUAACUAUUCCAGGAUAAAUAAAUCAAAUAAGUGAGUGAACAAUUACAGUAUACGACUUGACAGCCAUAGAACCUAAUGAAUCAAAGUAGCUGAAUUCAAUUGCUGAAAGGGCCAAAUGUCUCAUUACCAUUUAUAUCAGGAAAUUUUCAAACACGAUCAGCUGGAGUGCUGGAUCACACAACAUAAUUAGAAAGUUCAAACAGUUGCACAGGUGAAACUAGCUUAGAGUUAAAAACAGAGCAAGUACUAAAUAAUCUCCUAAAAGACUGUUAAGCUAUCCUGUUGUUAGAAAAAAGAACUGGAACUUUGUUUAUGGUGGCAAAGGGCCACGAGCUGAAAAAAAUAAACUUUCAUGUGGUUCAGAGCUUCUUAACAGAGUUGGUGUAACUAGUAGUUCUACACGGGAUUCACUUUCAUGGAUCUAAGAAAAAUCCCAUCCAAACUAGUCAAUCCAAGGAAAUUCUGGAACAAUCUCUAUACUAGGUAUGAAGCAUGAGGAGCCGUUUGUGGAUUGUAGUGACAGGAUGUCAUGGUGCCACAUGAAAGAAUACUAGAGAACAAGUUGCUUUCAGUCCAAAUACUCCAGCACAAUAUUGUCGUAAUUUUCACGAAAAAAGAACUUUUAUCGUAUUCAAUUAGAGAAUGAAUGCAUGUGUCACCAACUGGCAACCGAUCCAUCGAACAGAAUUGCUACAAUCUACAAGCAAUCCUGUUCAUUUCGACUCCAUUUUCACUCAGCCUUUACAGGUGUAUAUUGAUUUUUUUUAAGGGAAGUCUUGCAAUGAUUUAGUGUUUGGUUUUGAAAUUCUUAGUGAUAAUUUUCGCAACUAAAUUCCCUCCUGCAUGUUCGAGGGAAAAAAUGGAACUAAAUUAAACCAUGCCUUUUUAAAAAAAAAGAAAAUCAGAGCAGACCAGGAUUACUAUGUUUCCCACUUCAAUCUUGAACCCUGGUUCUGUGAAAGAAAAUUUACAGGGUAUCAUACAGUUUAAAAUUGAAAUGAAAAAAGUGCACCUGUACUUGCAGAGAUAUCUUUCCAGUCUUGAAAUGUGGCACACUCUUGACCUCCUGUAGAUAGGCUUUCAGUAAUUCCACCGGUUCAAACUGAUUAGUCAGCUCAAAUGCAUAAGCCAAAUUAAUUGCAUCAAUAGUUCUCCCAUUUUCAACCAGAACUCCAAUGACACCUAACAUCAAGAAAAUAUCUCAUGAGAAAAUGUGCUGACCUGUAAAAACGAAAAGAACAUGCAGCAGCAGAAAGGCGGAAAAGAAGAAAGGCAAAAUUAAAAGUAUGGAGCAAAGGGACCUCGGUGACUAGUCACUAGUCAGCAACAAUCCACCUAGGUCAGGGGGUAAAAGGUGAAUUAGUUGGUUAAAAUCGGUCUAGUACGUUCAAGUUGAUCAAUAUUAGUCAAGUGACUAGUCGGUUAAACAGGUCAACUAGGAAACAGAAAAGUGGCAUGGACUGAAAAUUUGGGCUAAACGGGUGGGAUAAGAGGGGUGGGAAAGGUCCUAUGGUUAUUCCCUCCCAUGACACGUCUGGAGCAGUCAAGAGCCGCCACGUGCUCUCUCGCCUUCACCUCAUGCAGCUUAUCAAAUUGUCAGUCUUAUAUUUCUCAAUAAUCAAUAGUCAGUACUUGAUCUGAAAAUAUGCUAUAAAACAUGUUAAAUGGCUAGCUACUUUUGAGCAAUAUUUUAUUUUUGGACAUAUUGGAACCACCGACUAGUUACUAACUAGUCAACAGCCGCUAGUCAUUGACCGACCACUGACUAGCGUCUAGGUUAAUACUGUUUCAAAACCAUGCGGGUGGCAAAUCUUUCAAUGGUUAUCUUUUUUUGUUUAAUGCAUAUUUGCCUCCUAAUAAUAUUAACCAUAUUUCUUAGAUAUUCGUAUUAUUCUUUUUCUAAAAUAGAUGCACAAAAGCACAUCCCAGUAUGUAAUCAAGCUCAAGGGCAAGGUCGGCGAAUUGAAUGACGUCCUCUUAGCUUGUUAUGCUCCAGAAUAUAUGAUCAUAUAUGUUAUUUAUAAGUUAGUAAAUACAUUCAGUUAAAUUAAGACCUCAACUGAGCAUAUAACAUAGCUUAGAAGCUGUGGAAACUUUGCUGCCACUAAGUACAAUACAGAUACUAGAUAGUGAGGUUCGGUGUGCGGCUGCCAAAUUAUAAGUAGCAGCCUGCAGAUUUUCCAUACAAAUUAUCUAAACAGCAAUGCUACAAUUCUGAUUACUUGUAGGCAUCUCUUGCUGCAGCCACUAACUAGAAAAUAAAUCCCAUGGUAUAGAUAUAUAGAUAUAUGAACAAUUAUUGAAGUGGUCAGAAUGUGUUCUCUAAACAUCUGAGUGACAAAGAGAAAUAGAAAAUUCCAUUUAUUAUUGAUGCUCAAUGGAACAAGCUGCAUUAUUAAUCGAUGAUAGCACUGACCUGGCAUGUUCUGGGACAAUCCAAGUAUUCUACAAAGCUCAGGUGUCUGACGACGACGACUGACUGAGGGAAGUAGCUUACACAGCUCAUCUUGUGCAAAUUCAGCAAAUAUACCAAAGGUAGCCAGGAGUUGAAGAAACGCAUGUGCUUCCAGGCAGUUCCCAUUGCUAGCAUCAAAGUCAAGGCUAUCCAACUUGGAUUUCCACUCAAGAGCAAUCUUUUUUGCACGCUCCUUGAUACUUGCAGUAAGCACUUGACCUUCCGAUAUGAAACCAGUAGUAGCAUCAGUUUGCAGCUGAGCAAGUGAUUCCAUCAACAUGAGGCACGUCCUCCGUACACCCAGAAGGUUUCCAUCCUUUUUGCCAUCCAAUAUAAGAUUGUCUCCAAAAUAGAAGUCUUCUAGAGAAGCUAACACCAAGCCAUAUGGAUCAGUUGCUCCCCUAAGUGCAACGGGGAUUUCCUCACGGAUGGAUGUUAAGUCUUUGCGAUUGUCUGAUAUGAACUUAUGAAGCCCGUUAACAUUCAUCUCUUCACAGAGGACAACAAGUUGAGAACGAGGCUUCACAGCAGUGUUUUCAUCUUGCAGGUAUGCACCAUGCGCAGUUGCAGGUUUGGGCCACUUAACAGAAAGACUACCACCGAUGUUUCCAUUAAACACAGCAUUGUUAUUCACGGAUUUGCUGAUUGGGUUGAUAAGAGGCGUAGACAAGUUCAGCUUGGACUUGCCAAAGAUCACAGCCAACGCGGCAUCCCUUUUCUGCUGCAGUUUUUCAAGAGAAGUCAGUUCCUUUGCCACGACAACAGCCUCUUGUUGCUCCAGCAUCUGCUCUGACUUUGCAACCGUCUCCUCGAACUCCUCUUCCUGCCUUUUCAGAUCAUCAAACUUUUUCUUGAGCGACUGCUCAAGCCCAUGGAAAUGGUCCUCCAGUUGCUUCCACUUUAAGUUCAAGGAAACAGCGCUCUGGCUCUCGAGCUCUGCAAAUGCACGCUGAAGCUGCUGCAGCUUGGAGCCUGUGGACUCCAUAAGUGUAGCCAUGGACUCCAUGUCGGACAUGGUGGCAGAUUUCUGCAAAAGGUGAAAACAACGAAAGCUGUUGGUACCCAUACCACAAACAACAAUACCGCACAUAAAACCAGGGGCGGAUCUAACGUGGGACAUGGGGAUUCAUCCCAAACUUUUUUUGGGGAACAAACGAAACUGUUAUUCGUAUUAAGAAUAGCAAAUUGAAAGAAAAGCAGCAGCUUUCAGAUCUAGAAGAGAAGCUAGGGUUGACGCGAAUUCGAGGGGAAAAAGUGGGUGGGUAGAGAGGGAUGAGAAAGAGGAUAUGCGAAACGGAUGGAUGCUCACCAGGAAGCAGCAGUGACGAUGUGCGUUGACGGACGGAUGCUAGCUCCCCCGCCCCCGCCACCACCUAUGGCGGCUCGGGGAGGAGAUCGAGGGGGGUCGGCGGCGGCGGCGGCGGCGGCCGGAGGAGCGGCGGAACCCUAGACGUGGUGGUGGGUUGUGGGCGUCUGUCUGCUUUUCGCGGGAGGGAUGGGGAAAGUGACGGAUUGGAGAAGCUGCGGUGCGAGGGGAGAGAGUGAGAGACAAUGGUUGGUGGGUCCCAUCUGUCAGUGAUAGUCUUUUUACUCCUCGGUCUGCAGAAAAGCGGUUUGCCAUGUGCUCUAAAAACAGUGUUUUUACAACUUAGUAAUUUUUUAUUUAAACAUUAGAAGGAAAAUGUGCACAAGAGAUACACAAUUGUCUUUCCAAGGAGUAGCUUGCAUAAGUUGCUUUGUAGGACAAGUAUUAUUAUUACAAGCAUGACUAAUAUUUUGGUAAUUUAGAGCUGCUAACUCAUAUUUAGAUUCUCUGGCUUUUUUAGACUAGUAGUCAGCUAUUUGAUACCCUUUUAUUUAUAUCUCUGGGGAUCCAUUUGACGUUGAAAGAAGCUCCACCUGAAAAGUUAUGUAAUUGUGCAAGCAAAGGCAAAAGGCUCUAGUGAUGGUUAUGAUUGAUAUUAUUAGAGUUUUGAAGUAAGAGCACCAGUUCUUGAUUGUCUUGAAAAAAUAGGGAGGAUUUGUAAUUUGAAGGAAAUCACAGAUGAAGGUAUCAAGCUUAAAAGUUGCAAGUUCCGCCUGAAUUGGCGACACAUAAAGAGUUGAUUUGGCCUACACAAAGAUGAUAUGAUGAUUUAUAGAGUCAUGUAGAAAAAAGACCAAACCUUGUUAUAUUAUCCUUCCCAGAAGCGUCAAGGAAACAUCCAGUUACUGGCAACAAAUUAACAGAAGCAACAGAAUUCAUCUAUGAUUGGAAUAGUUUCAUUAUCAUUCUCAUUAGACAAGGCUGAAAUAUAAUUCUUUGACAUAGCGCUUGCUACAUUACAAACUUGCAAAGGCUCCCAUUCUUUUUUCUUGAAAUAAUGAUCAUUUCUAGCUUUCCAAAUAAACCAAAGAAGGAUUGGAACUUUUUGAAGGCUGUUUUCAGAAUUAUUAGUUGCAAGCAAAUAUGCUAUAAUAUUAGAAACAUUUUGCAUUGAGUCAAUAAUGAGAUUGUGAAAAGAGAGUUCUUAAAGUUUCCAGGUAAGUCUUGCAAAAGCACAGCGGAAGAAAAGAUGAACAUUUUCAGCAUCAUUGCAACGGGAGCAAAAAUCAGGAAUAUCCAAAAUUUUUGAGUGAAGAUUUGCAGCCGUUGGAAGAGCUUGUCUAAUUAGUCUCCAAAUAAAAGUUUUAACUUUAGAAGGAAUGUAUUUAGUGGACCAAGUUUUCAAAAGGAGAUUACUCUGUAAAGAGGUGAUGUUAGAGGAGACAAGAUAAAGAUAAAGAUUAAGUGCUUCACACAAAACAAGGUGGUAAUAACGUGUGAUUAAUUGAGUUUUAAUUAUUACAAACUUGAAAAUAGAUUAAUCUGAUAUUUUAGAACAACUUUCAUACAGAAAGUUUUUGCACGAAACACACUGUUUAGUAGUUUGAAAAGCGUGCCGAGAAUAUCCAAAAUUUUAUCCGCUCCUUGCAGUGGAAACGAACUGGAAGUGAGAAAUAUUAGAAACCUGCUUAUAAUUGCUUUUUGAAGUAAUGCUCUUGAAGAAGUAGGAAUCCAAUAGAGUUUGUCCUCAUUAUCCUGAGGAACAAUCUGAACCUUUGAUAUGAUUUGCACCAUUUCCUAGUCAAAAAUUUGAUUGAGCUUGUUUUUAGACCAAGAUCUAAAACAGUUUGUAACGUAUGAUUUCCGGACAAAAAACCCAUCAUUCUACUCACGGAUAACACAUCAGCUUCUUUACCAGCUAAUCAUGACACUUACGGGCUUAGAGCAUUCCUAGCUGCUUGCUUAUCUAUUUCGUCCCUCAUCAACAGCAAUAACAUCAGCAGCUAAUCUAGUAGAUGCACCAACCCUAUCUUUAAAUUUAGCAUGUGUGCUAUCUUGGAAAGAGAAACAACAACUUUGGUGUUGCUCUCUUCUUACCGAGCUCCCGCCCCAUCCGGAUCGACCGAGCAACGCCUCGUCCAUCAUUGUCAUCAUUACUAGCCAGCGUAGGUGAGUCCCUAUAUUCCCUUUACUUUUUUUUCAGCGAUGGUGGUAGUGGCAGGGCUUCAAAGGGUAGAGCCAUGGCGGAAUGAGGGUGGAGCCAUGGCGGAAUGGUGGUAGUGGAGAGGAAGGGUGCACCAAUCUAGAGGUGGCAAUGGAUUCUAGGGUGGUGGAUGUGGUCAUCGACCUGCUACGUAUGCAAAAGCACUGCUCGCAUUGAUGGCUCUCUUAAUUAAUAUUUGAUAGAUUCACAAUGUAAUAUAUUUGUAUCCUUCAACAUGUUUUACCACUUGUAUGCUGCUAUGAUUUUUCUUGCUAGAUGAAUUGAUGGACACCUACGUUGGUUUGUUGGGUUCAGACAUUGAUGUAGCAAAUUAGAAUCUAAGUCAAAAAAAAUUCCCCAAAAUGGAGCCGCCACAACCACCGUUUUUUUAACAAAUUAGUCUUUUUUAAAAACUUAUUUCGAAACUAGUCCCUGCAAAAAACUUCAACCAAAAAUAGGCCGUGAACUCAGCGCCAUGGACCUUGGCGCUGAGCUAUAACGUCUCAGCGCCAACUUUUGUUGGCGCUAAGCUCAAAUCCGAGGUGGCAUGAAUUUGUUGAGUCAUCAUAUUUGGCGCUGAGGUCUUGAUGAUUUAAAUUUCUACGGAGGCAUUCAUCUUCAUCAACUCAACGAUAGCAUAGUGGUAGUAGGAUUCUACUCUAACCCUAUGGAGCAGGGUUCGAUCCCCCAUUUCAUCCAUUUUUCUUCUUUUCUCCGUUUUUUCUUCUUUCGACCCCCCAUCUCUCCCUUUUUUUUUUCUGUUUCUUCUUCUUUUUUUCUUCUUUUUCUUCUCUCUCACACUCUUUAAAUUUACAAACGAAACUGUCAUUUUGUAAAGAAUAAGAGUGAAUAGUCGAGAGAAAAAAAAAACCAUUUUUUUCUUUUUCUUCUUCUUUUUCUUCUCUCUCUCACUCUUUAUUUUUUUUCUUUUCUGUUUGUCUCUGAUACUAUCUUCAAAAGAUAUGUUUAAAUUGCAAUUUUUUUGAAUUUGGAAAAAAAUAUUAAAGUGGUAUAUUAUAUGGCAAUUGAGAACUUAAACUGAAAUUUCAAAUCAAAUUCAAAAUAAAACAAAUUUACAAACGAAACUGUCAUUUUGUAAAGAAUAAGAGUGAGUAGUUGAGAGAACAAAAAAGAGAAAAGGAAAAAACCCAAAAUACAAAAAAAAAUGUUGAGGUGGGAUACCAGGAUUCGGACCUAGAACCCUAUGCCCUCACAGCUUGAGACAUCAACCACUAGGCUAUAACUGUUUUGCUACACUAAGAUGCUUGCGCUUCUAUUUGAAUCGUCAGGACCUCUGACUCAGCAACACCUCGGAUUAGAUGUUAGCGCAAUAACGUUGGCGCUGAGAUGUUAUAGGUCAGCGCCAAGGUCUAUGGCGCUGAGACCACGGUCUAUUUUUUGUUGAAGUUUUUUAUAGGACUAGUUUCGAAAUAAGUUUUUGAAAACGACCAAUUUGUUAAAAAAAACGGCCACAACCAAGUCCUCAAGCUAGAGAGCAGCAAAACACAACAGAAAUUGGGGUGUCCUCUAGACCAAACAACAAGAGAUCAAAGAAUUUCACCAUUACAGAAGACAUAAUGUUGGUGUCGGCAUGGCUCAAUACCACUCUGAAUGCUGCGAUCGCAGGUGCUAAGCAACAUUGUGACUCAUAUUAAGCAACGAUUCACCAAUACUUGCAUAAAAACAAGAAAUCCCCCACAAAUCGUAACCAAAAUUCUUUUAACAAACAUUGUGGGUGCCACUCAAUACUAAGUUAACAAUACAAUUUGAAAUGUUGCUAUAUUUUCUAAAAAGUUUGACUAGAAAAAGUUAAAACUACUUAUUAUAAUAUGAAAUAGAGAGCAUAGGUGAUAUGGUGUAGUUCGGACAUAGUCGCUAAUAGCAAGCUCGUAUCCAUGUCAACUAGGCAAAAUAUUAAUAUACAAAAAUAUUUAGUUGAUGGUGAUUUUUAUCCAAUUAAGAGUGAAACACAAACUUCGGUGAUAGUUCAAGGCCAUGUUGAUCUGGACUGUAUUCUUUGGGACACUUUCCUAGCUUCUACUCUCUCGCUUUCCUUUCCAAACUAAUAAAUAAUAUAUUUUUUUAAAUAGAGAAAAUUUAUUUUAAAAAAAUCAUAUUAAUCUAUUUCAAUUUUUUUAAGCUAAUAUUUAAUUAAUUAUGUGUUAAUCCGCCGCUUCAUUUUGUGUGCUAGGAGAGAAGGGUUCCCAACACCCUCGAAAGAACACAGCCAUCUACUAGUCACAACUCACAAUCUAACAUCAAAGUGAAUCUUACGACUACAAAGUACAACGUUUAUGCUAUGGGAAAUUUGGAACCAAACAUUAGUUGCAUCACCAUAGGGUCUGGAUGUCAAAAUAAUGUCGACAAAUUUAAACAUAUAUAAACUUUUUGUAUUUGUAAUUUUUAAAAUGGAUGAGGGUAAAGACGGGGAAACCAACUGGAAAGCAGAAAACAAAUACAAAAUAGUUUAGACCAAUUUUACUGAAAACAAAUCACAUGUUAGAAAACCACAGGAUACAUGUUCCCAUCCAAAGCUUUGCAGUGGAAUUUGUAAACCUUGCAUCUGAGAAAAAAGGGUAACUCCAUUUUGCUUCCAAUGCAACAGAAAGCAUUGUAAUGGACAUUUCCACCAUGCAACACACAAAAUCUUCGGUACUGGGACUAUCUCAACUCCUUAUAUUAAACAAAAGCAAAUUAUUUAACUAAACAUUAGGAGUAAAUUAUGUCAUAAGUCGUCAGGGAAAUUAACAGAUUUUCACACUGGCCACUCAGCACACACAGGAGUGGUCGAACUAAUUUCAGCUAGGCAGUCUAGCUAGUGGAUUGAUACAACUACAACACAUAGUAGCAGGUUAAAAGCUACAUAGUUAAGAAAGAGGACACGGCGCUCUCUCCAUCAGUGGAUAUAUGGUACCUGGUACUGAACCUGAUAGCCAUUACCAUAGUAUGUUGUGUGGGCAGGUGACAUGCCAUAGGGAGCUGAGCUUAUCAUUGUUGGGUGAUGAUGGGCCUCAGCACCAUAUACAUACUGCCUCUCGUAAGGGUAGGAAUGCCUCUGUGGCGCAGCGGCCUGGUAGAAGCUUUUGUCAGAAAAGCUAGUAAUAUGU
rnacentral:lncRNA from 1 species